CCGGCAGUAGUACCUACUUUUUAAAGUGUAAGCAAGGAAAGUUGGCCCGCACCUGUAGUCCCAUCUACCUGGGAGGCUGAGGUGGAAGAAUUGCUUGAGCCCAGUUGGUCGAGGCUGCAAUGAGCCUUGAUCACGCCACUGCACUCCAGCCUGGGCAACAGAACAAGACCCUGUCUCAAACAAAAAAGUGUAUGUAAGAAUAAAAAUUAAUAGAUUAGGCACAGGAUGGGUGUUUAAUUCUCGGCAAUCACCACUAAGUUUUCAUACUGAGGCUUAUUCAUUCCAUGGGCAAAACAUUGCGCUAUGUGUGGUGCCUGGGGUGGGCUCCAAAUUCCAGUCCUCUCCUCGCUUGCGAUAGCUGUGUGAUCCAUUCCUAAGUUUCCUUAUUUGUCCACAGAGCGUACACAGGGUUUUUAUGAAAACUAGAUCAGAUAAUCAGACACAGUUAAAAUAGCACGCGCUCAGUAAAAUUACAUAUUAGUGGAAGAGACAAGCCUUGAAUAAAUCGCCUUUCGGGGAGUAUGACCCCCUCCCCGAAACCCACUCAGGCGCUGCUCGCUCGCACGCCCACUGAGCUCGGAGCGGAGCCCGAGCCCUUUCCCAGCACACAGGGUUCAUUUCCAGACUGAAAGACAUCCCAGAGACAACUCCAGAGGCCAAGGCGGGUCGGCUUCCUGCGUGGGCCCAGCGCCGGGCACUGAAAGCGCCCUUUCUCCCCGCCGCAUUCCCGGUGUCGACUUACUAGCUGCAAGCCUCUGCCUGCCUUCCUGCGCGCCGUUCCCCGCUAGUCGCUGCUGCUGGCGCGCACUCGCCGGGUUUUUCCUCCCACGGCCUCGAGAUGGUGGUGAAUGUGGCACGGAGGAGCCGGGCCUUCCAACCCGGUGGGCCCGAGCUCCGAAAGGCCCCCUCGGCAGUGAGAGGGGCGGGAGCCCGCGGGGGCCGCGCCCUUCUCUCGCUUCGGACUGCGCAACGCUGCGCUCUGGGCUGACAGGCGGAUAAAACGGUCCCAUCAAGACUGAGAAAAAGCACACCAGCUAUUGGCACAGCGUGGGCAGUGGGGCCUACAGGAUGACUGACUUAGUCUACAGAGAUCCCGGCGUACUUAAGCAGAUGAAGACUCUUAAGAUGACAGAAGGUGAUUUUUCUGGUGAUCGAGGACUUCCGGGGUAAUGACAGUGAUGAAAUGCAGGGGACCUGGUUGCCCCCAAGUUUCCUGGCAGUGUGUGAUACUGAGGAGGUGAGCUUGUUUCUGGAGCUGUGCUUUAAGGUAAAGUUGAUCAGCUUAAUCCUCCUGAUCCCUUUCCCAUCGGAUCUGAACACUGGUCUUGGUGGUCGUAAAAGGAGGAAAAGUAAUAGUGAAGCUGGCCUAAAUGUUGUAAUCUGGUAUAUGGCAUGUGGGCUAGUUUCAGACAGGUUUCAGAGAUGGUUGGAUCUCUGAAAUUGUAAAAUGAAGUAUAAUCUUAGGCUAAGGGAAGGAUGCGUGUGAAGCUCUGGAGAUUCAUGUUACAUGUAAAGCUGUCCUCAUUUGUGACUAUGGACCUAUGGAGUUGGGACAAUCUCUAUGGGAAGCAGAAGGCAAGGACCCCGGUCAUUUUAGGUAGAAACAACAGCAUGCUAAUGCAAAAAAUUAUGCAGUGUGCUACUGAACUUCAGAGGUGAUCAAUAAAAGAAGAAUAAAAAGACUAAUAAAAGUAUAUUUGUGUUUGUAUUUUUUUGUAGAGACCGAACUGGUCUCUU
rnacentral:lncRNA from 1 species